UACGUAGGGGGCAAGCGUUGUCCGGAUUUAUUGGGCGUAAAGAGCUCGUAGGUGGGUUUGUAAGUCAGUGGUGAAAUCUCCAAGCUUAACUUGGAAACUGCCGUUGAUACUAUAAAUCUUGAAUGUUGUGGAGGUGAGCGGAAUAUGUCAUGUAGCGGUGAAAUGCUUAGAUAUGACAUAGAACACCAAUUGCGAAGGCAGCUCACUACACAAAGAUUGACACUGAGGCACGAAAGCGUGGGGAUCAAACAGG
rnacentral:rRNA from 1 species